UGCUCGAGCUCCGGCGCUGAUGCCCCGGUGGUCAGCGGCCACCGCAUUCAAGGGCCGACCGCAAUGUUCGGUAAGUACUAUUCCCCGUCAAGUCGACUGCUUCAAUCUGUCGGUUUCUCUCUAGGUCCUUUUUGUGUUCUGCCCAAAGAUUUUUGUAUUUUUUGUUGUAAAGAUAUUCUGGCACAUGCAGUUAUUUGUGUUGAGAUUGUUUCUUCACGUAGCUGAAUAUUUUGUUAUUGUGUAUUGCUGUAAAUGACCAUCAUUUUUCUUGAUUUUGUUGUUGAUUUUUGUGGUGAACCACUUGAGAAUCAGUUGGAAUUGUUGAAAAUAUUUAUGA